CAAAGAUUAAGCCAUGCAUGUCUAAGCAUGCGCUGAAGUAAAGUGAAGCCGCGAAUAGCUCAUUACAACAGCCGUUGUUUCUUGGAUCUCUUCUCUACUUGGAUAACUGUGGUAAUUCUAGAGCUAAUACAUGCAACAAAGCCCCGAUCGCAAGUGACGGGCGCCUUUAUUAGAACAAGACCAUCCGGCACUUGUGCCGUUCUUUGGUGACUCUGAAUAACUCAGCAGAUCGCAUGGGCUUGCCCCGGCGACAAAUCUUUCAAGUGUCUGCCUUAUCAACUUUCGAUGGUAGUUUAUGUGACUACCAUGGUUGUGACGGGUAACGGAGGAUCAGGGUCUGACUCCGGAGAGGGAGCCUGAGAAACGGCUACCACUUCUAAGGAAGGCAGCAGGCGCGCAAAUUACCCAUUCUCAGCAUGAGGAGGUAGUGACGAAAAAUACCAAGGCGAGGCUCUUUGAGCUUCGCCAUUGGAAUGAGAACAAUCCAAAUCUU
rnacentral:rRNA from 1 species